GNUCGUCAUGGCUCACAGCCUGAGCCUGGUCGUUUGACAUGCCUAAUACAUGCAAGUCGAGCGAACAGAGAAGGAGCUUGCUCCUUUGACGUUAGCGGCGGACGGGUGAGUAACACGUAGGGCAACCUACCUUAUAGUUAUUAGCGGAUAACUCCUGGGAAACCUGGAGGACCUAAUACCUGAAUAAAUCUAUUUCACUUCAUGAGUUGAAAANUACCUUGAAAAGACAGGUUUCGUAGCUUGUACGCUAUUACAAGAUUGUGUGCCCUGGCAGAGNCC
rnacentral:rRNA from 1 species